UCCGUGGCAGUCCAGUGGUUAAGAUUCUGCACUUCCAAUGCAGCAGGCUCGGGUUCCAUUCCAGGUCAUGGAA
rnacentral:tRNA from 1 species